UACGUAGGGUGCGAGCGUUAAUCGGAAUUACUGGGCGUAAAGCGUGCGCAGGCGGUUUUGUAAGCCAGGUGUGAAAUCCCCGGGCUCAACCUGGGAAUGGCAUUUGGGACUGCAAGGCUGGAGUGCGGCAGAGGAGACUGGAAUUCCUGGUGUAGCAGUGAAAUGCGUAGAUAUCAAGAGGAACACCAGUGGCGAAGGCGAGUCCCUGGACGAUACCUGACACUGAGGCACGAAAGCCGGGGGAGCAAACGGG
rnacentral:rRNA from 1 species